rnacentral:rRNA from 1 species
AGAUUGAACGCUGGCGGCAGGCCUAACACAUGCAAGUCGAGCGGUAGAGAGGUGCUUGCAUCUCUUGAGAGCGGCGGACGGGUGAGUAAUGCCUAGGAAUCUGCCUAGUGGUGGGGGAUAACGUUCGGAAACGGACGCUAAUACCGCAUACGUCCUACGGGAGAAAGCGGGGGACCUUCGGGCCUCGCGCCAUUAGAUGAGCCUAGGUCGGAUUAGCUAGUUGGUGAGGUAAUGGCUCACCAAGGCGACGAUCUGUAACUGGUCUGAGAGGAUGAUCAGUCACACUGGAACUGAGGCACGGUCAGACUCCUACGGGAGCAGCAGUGGGGAAUAUGGACAAGUGGACGAAAGCCUGAUCCAGCCAUGCCGCGUGUGUGAAGAAGGUCUUCGGAUUGUAAAGCACUUUAAGUGGAGGUAAGGUUAGUAACCGUAAUACGUUGCUAACUUUGACGUUACGACAGAAUAAGACACCGACUAACUUCGU